CCCUUAGAUGUUCUGGGCUGCACACGCGCUACACUGAUGCGAUCAACAAGUUUUUCCUAUGUCGAUAGACACGGGUAAUCUUUUGAACUCGCAUCGUGAUGGGGAUAGAUUAUUGUAAUUAUUAAUCUUCAACGAGGAAUUCCUAGUAGGUGCAAAUCAUCAGUUUGCAUCGAUUACGUCCCUGCCCUUUGUACACACCGCCCGUCGCUGCUACCGAUUGGUUGAUCUGGUGAAUUAUUCGGACUGCCGGCUGAAGGGGUUUCCUCAUCUGCCAGCGGAAAGUCUUGUUAACCCUAUCAACUAGAGGAAGCAGAAGUCGUAACA
rnacentral:rRNA from 1 species